GACGAACGCUGGCGGCGUGCCUAAUACAUGCAAGUAGAACGCUGAAGGGAGAGCUUGCUCUUCUGGAUGAGUUGCGAACGGGUGAGUAACGCGUAGGUAACCUGCCUGGUAGCGGGGGAUAACUAUUGGAAACGAUAGCUAAUACCGCAUAACAUUGACUAUUGCAUGAUAGUCAAUUGAAAGGUGCAAAUGCACCACUACCAGAUGGACCUGCGUUGUAUUAGCUAGUUGGUGGGGUAACGGCUCACCAAGGCGACGAUACAUAGCCGACCUGAGAGGGUGAUCGGCCACACUGGGACUGAGACACGGCCCAGACUCCUACGGGAGGCAGCAGUAGGGAAUCUUCGGCAAUGGACGGAAGUCUGACCGAGCAACGCCGCGUGAGUGAAGAAGGUCUUCGGAUCGUAAAGCUCUGUUGUAAGAGAAGAAACGAGUGUGAGAGUGGAAAAGUUCAC
rnacentral:rRNA from 1 species